rnacentral:pre_miRNA from 1 species
CAUGUAUUUUCUCCAUCCAAUAAAAGAUGUCUCAAGUUUGUUAAAAUUUAGAUGUAUCUAGAUGCGACUUAGUGUAUAGAUGAAUUUAAAUUUAGUCAAAGUUGAGACUUUUUUGUUGAACGGAGAAAGUACAAA